rnacentral:rRNA from 1 species
CUCGGCAACGGAUAUCUCGGCUCUCGCAUCGAUGAAGAACGUAGCGAAAUGCGAUACUUGGUGUGAAUUGCAGAAUCCCGUGAACCUUCGAGUCUUUGAACGCAAGUUGCGCCCGAAGCCAUUAGGCUGAGGGCACGUCUGCCUGGGCGUCACGC